ACCUCCCCGCAAGCUGAGGGAGCCGGCUCCGGCCUUGGCCAGCUCACAAAGGGGCUCCCACAGUGCAGCGGCGGGCUGAAGGGCUGCUCAAGUGCCGCCAAAGUGGGAGCCCAGGCAGAGGAGGCGCCGAGAGCGAGCGAGGGCUGCGAGGACUGCCAGCAUGCUGUCACCUCUCACGGGCUGUACAGGAAGCAUGAUGCUGGCAUCUUCUCAGCUUCUGGUGAAGCCUCAGGAAGCUUCUACUCAUGCCAGAAGGCAAAGCAGGAGCAGCAGGUCACAUGGCAAGUGACUGGAAGGCAGCUAUAUUUAAAUUUCUAUAAAGAUCAGAUCCUCUAUGGACAACUUUUACUG